AGCAGCCGCGGUAAUUCCAGCUCCAAUAGCGUAUAUUAAAGUUGUUGCAGUUAAAAAGCUCGUAGUUGAAUUUCGGGAUUGACGUGAUGGUCAUGCCUUAAGGGGUAUGAACUGUUACUGUUGAUUUCUCACCUUCUGGAGAAACUUGAUGUCCUUUAUUGGGUGUCUUGCGGAUCCAGGACCUUUACCUUGAAAAAUUAGAGUGUUUAAAGCAGGCAUUUUUGCUCGAAUACAUUAGCAUGGAAUAAUAGAAUAGGACGGCAUGGUUCUAUUUUGUUGGUUUCUAGGAUCACCGUAAUGAUUAAUAGGGAUAGUUGGGGGCAUUAGUAUUCAAUUGUCAGAGGUGAAAUUCUUGGAUUUAUUGAAGACUAACUACUGCGAAAGCAUUUGCCAAGGAUGUUUUCAUUAAUCAAGAACGAAAGUUAGGGGAUCGAAGACGAUCAGGUACCGUCGUAGUCUUAGCCAUAAACUAUGCCGACUAGGAAUCAGACGAUGUUAAUUUUUAAUGACUCGUUUG
rnacentral:misc_RNA from 1 species